AUGCAUGCAGUCGCACGCAGCGCGCUUCGGCGCGCUGAGUGGCGCACGGCUGAGUAGCACGUGGGAACGUACCCAGGAGUGGGGGAUAACGCCGCGAAAGCGACGCUAAGCCCGCAUACGCUCGGCUCGCAAGAGGCGAGGAAAGCAGCAAUGCGCUCGUGGCGCGGCCCGCGGCCCAUCAGGUAGUUGGGGGGGUAAGGGCCUCCCAAGCCGAUGACGGGUAGCUGGUCUGUGAGGACAAUCAGCCAGACUGGGACUGAGACACGGCCCAGACUCCUACGGGAGGCAGCAGCAAGGAAUUUUCGUCAAUGGGCGCAAGCCUGAACGAGCAACGCCGCGUGGUGGAUGACGGCCUUCGGGUUGUAAACACCUUUUGGGGGGGAAGAGUAGGACGGUACCCCUUGAAUAAGGCUCGGCUAACUCUGUGCCAGCAGCCGCGGUAAGACAGAGGAGCCAAGCGUUGUCCGGAUUGACUGGGCGUAAAGCGCACGCAGGCGGGUGCGCGCGUGGGGUGUGAAACCUGGCCGCUUAACGGCCAGCGGCCAUCCCAUACGGCGUGCCUGGAGCCUUGCAGAGGGCGGUGGAAUUGCCGGUGUAGUGGUGAAAUGCGUAGAGAUCGGCAGGAACACCCAGGGGGAAACCAGCCGCCUGGGGCAAGCGCUGACGCUG
rnacentral:rRNA from 1 species